AACGAACGCUGGCGGCAGGCUUAACACAUGCAAGUCGAGCGCCCCGCAAGGGGAGCGGCAGACGGGUGAGUAACGCGUGGGAACGUACCCUUUGCUACGGAAUAGCUCCGGGAAACUGGAAUUAAUACCGUAUGUGCCCUACGGGGGAAAGAUUUAUCGGCAAAGGAUCGGCCCGCGUUGGAUUAGCUAGUUGGUGGGGUAAAGGCCUACCAAGGCGACGAUCCAUAGCUGGUCUGAGAGGAUGAUCAGCCACACUGGGACUGAGACACGGCCCAGACUCCUACGGGAGGCAGCAGUGGGGAAUCUUAGACAAUGGGCGCAAGCCUGAUCUAGCCAUGCCGCGUGAGCGAUGAAGGCCUUAGGGUUGUAAAGCUCUUUCGUGGGGGAAGAUAAUGACUGUACCCCAAGAAGAAGCCCCGGCUAACUCCGUGCCAGCCGCCGCUGUAAAAC
rnacentral:rRNA from 1 species